rnacentral:rRNA from 1 species
UGAACGCUGGCGGCAUGCCUUACACAUGCAAGUCGAACGGCAGCAUGAUCUAGCUUGCUAGAUUGAUGGCGAGUGGCGAACGGGUGAGUAAUACAUCGGAACGUGCCCUGUAGUGGGGGAUAACUAGUCGAAAGAUUAGCUAAUACCGCAUACGACCUGAGGGUGAAAGUGGGGGACCGCAAGGCCUCAUGCUAUAGGAGCGGCCGAUGUCUGAUUAGCUAGUUGGUGAGGUAAAGGCUCACCAAGGCGACGAUCAGUAGCUGGUCUGAGAGGACGAUCAGCCACACUGGGACUGAGACACGGCCCAGACUCCUACGGGAGGCAGCAGUGGGGAAUUUUGGACAAUGGGGGCAACCCUGAUCCAGCAAUGCCGCGUGUGUGAAGAAGGCCUUCGGGUUGUAAAGCACUUUUGUCCGGAAAGAAAUCGCACUUACUAAUAUUAGGUGUGGAUGACGGUACCGGAAGAAUAAGGACCGGCUAACUACGUGCCAGCAGCCGCGGUAAUACGUAGGGUCCAAGCGUUAAUCGGGAAUUACUGGGCGUAAAGCGUGCGCAGGCGGGUUGUGCAAGACCGAUGUGAAAUCCCCGGGGCUUAACCUGGGAAUUGCAUUGGUGACUGCACGGCUAGAGUGUGUCAGAGGGGGGGUAGAAUUCCACGUGUAGCAGUGAAAAUGCGUAGAGAUGUGGAAGGAAUACCGAUGGCGAAGGCAGCCCCCUGGGAUAACACUGGACGCUCAUGCACGAAAGCGUGGGGAGCAAACAGGAUUAGAUACCCUGGUAGUCCACGCCCUAAACGAUGUCAACUAGUUGUUGGGGAUUCAUUUCCUUAGUAACGUAGCUAACGCGUGAAGUUGACCGCCUGGGGAGUACGGUCGCAAGAUUAAAACUCAAAGGAAUUGACGGGGACCCGCACAAGCGGUGGAUGAUGUGGAUUAAUUCGAUGCAACGCGAAAAACCUUACCUACCCUUGACAUGCCACUAACGAAGCAGAGAUGCAUUAGGUGCUCGAAAGAGAAAGUGGACACAGGUGCUGCAUGGCUGUCGUCAGCCCGUGUCGUGAGAUGUUGGGUUAAGUCCCGCAACGAGCGCAACCCUUGUCUCUAGUUGCUACGAAAGGGCACUCUAGAGAGACUGCCGGUGACAAACCGGAGGAAGGUGGGGAUGACGUCAAGUCCUCAUGGCCCUUAUGGGUAGGGCUUCACACGUCAUACAAUGGUGCAUACAGAGGGUUGCCAAGCCGCGAGGUGGAGCUAAUCCCAGAAAAUGCAUCGUAGUCCGGAUCGUAGUCUGCAACUCGACUACGUGAAGCUGGAAUCGCUAGUAAUCGCGGAUCAGCAUGCCGCGGUGAAUACGUUCCCGGGUCUUGUACACACCGC